rnacentral:rRNA from 1 species
CCUCAGUAACGGCGAGUGAAGCGGUAACAGCUCAAAUUUGAAAUCUGGCCUCACGGUCCGAGUUGUAAUUUGUAGAGGAUGCUUCGAGCAUGGUCUGGCCUAAGUUCCUUGGAACAGGACGUCAUAGAGGGUGAGAAUCCCGUAUGCGGCCAGGUGCCUACGCUCAUGUGAAGCUCCUUCGACGAGUCGAGUUGUUUGGGAAUGCAGCUCAAAAUGGGUGGUAAAUUUCAUCUAAAGCUAAAUAUUGGCCAGAGACCGAUAGCGCACAAGUAGAGUGAUCGAAAGAUGAAAAGCACUUUGGAAAGAGAGUUAAACAGUACGUGAAAUUGUUGAAAGGGAAGCGCUUGCAACCAGACUUGCGCGCGGCCGAUCAUCCGGUGUUCUCACCGGUGCACUCGGCCGUGCUCAGGCCAGCAUCGGUUUUGGCGGCUGGAUAAAGGCCCUAGGAAUGUAGCUCCUCUCGGGGAGUGUUAUAGCCUAGGGUGCAAUGCAGCCUGCUGGGACCGAGGACCGCGCUUCGGCUAGGAUGCUGGCGUAAUGGUUGUAAGCGGCCCGUCUUGAAACACGGACCAAGGAGUCUAACAUCUAUGCGAGUGUUUGGGUGUCAAACCCAUACGCGUAAUGAAAGUGAACGGAGGUGAGAACCCUUAAGGGUGCAUCAUCGACCGGUCCUGAAGUUUACGGAAGGAUCUGAGUAAGAGCAUAGCUGUUGGGACC